AGUACAUGAUGUGAAUAUUUUCGUAGCAAAUCUCUAAAUCUUUCCCAUGCCUCAUAUAAUGAUUCACCUUCUAAUUGGCUAAAACUAGUGAUAUCCAUUCUUAGCUU